rnacentral:snRNA from 1 species
UUGCUUUCUCAUCAUCCGUACUAAAAUUGGAACAACCCAGAGACAAGAAGCAUGCCCCCACGAAAGGACGACGUGUGAGUCUGUGAAGCAUUCCAGCUUUGG